rnacentral:rRNA from 1 species
UGCUGCUUCGCUGACGAGUGGCGGACGGGUGAGUAAUGUCUGGGAAACUGCCUGAUGGAGGGGGAUAACUACUGGAAACGGUAGCUAAUACCGCAUAACGUCGCAAGACCAAAGAGGGGGACCUUCGGGCCUCUUGCCAUCGGAUGUGCCCAGAUGGGAUUAGCUAGUAGGUGGGGUAACGGCUCACCUAGGCGACGAUCCCUAGCUGGUCUGAGAGGAUGACCAGCCACACUGGAACUGAGACACGGUCCAGACUCCUACGGGAGGCAGCAGUGGGGAAUAUUGCACAAUGGGCGCAAGCCUGAUGCAGCCAUGCCGCGUGUAUGAAGAAGGCCUUCGGGUUGUAAAGUACUUUCAGCGGGGAGGAAGGCGAUAAGGUUAAUAACCUUGUCGAUUGACGUUACCCGCAGAAGAAGCACCGGCUAACUCCGUGCCAGCAGCCGCGGUAAUACGGAGGGUGCAAGCGUUAAUCGGAAUUACUGGGCGUAAAGCGCACGCAGGCGGUCUGUCAAGUCGGAUGUGAAAUCCCCGGGCUCAACCUGGGAACUGCAUUCGAAACUGGCAGGCUAGAGUCUUGUAGAGGGGGGUAGAAUUCCAGGUGUAGCGGUGAAAUGCGUAGAGAUCUGGAGGAAUACCGGUGGCGAACGCGGCCCCCUGGACAAAGACUGACGCUCAGGUGCGAAAGCGUGGGGAGCAAACAAGAUUAGAUACCCUGCUAGUCCACGCCGUAAAGAUGUCGACUUGGAGGUUGUGCUCUUGAGGCUUGGCUUCCGGAACUACUCGUAUAG